GAUGAGAUGCAGCCUAUGUACCAGAACAGAAGGAUGUAAUGCUCAAAAAGUAGCUUAAAUCUAUCUUUGGGGGGAUUUGUUUUAAAUGGAAGCAUUUCAGUGCAAUAUUUGUCUUCAGAUGAGGUACUGCAGAGCUAUUGAAUCAGUUGAAGAAACUUCUUCCUAGCUUUGCAAGUCUGCAUAAAUGUUUUGAUCAAAUGAAGAUCCACUGACUGGAAAAAGCAUGACUGAAUGGAAUAAACUCUUUUGCACUUGGACGCUUUUCGAAGUCAGUGGGGGCUGAGUACAUGGAAGGAUAACAAGACCGAGUCCUAACAGCAGAUGCUGUUAACCAUUGUAUGAAAGAGAGGCUUGAGAAAAGACUGUUCUGGGCGACUGAUUGCACA